CAUGCAAGUCGAACGCAGUAGCAAUACUUAGUGGCAGACGGGUGAGUAACAUGUGGGUAUCUGCCCUUUGGCCUGGAAUAACACGAGGAAACUUGUGCUAAUACCGGAUAAGCCCUCACGGGGAAAGUUUUAAUGCCAAAAGAUGAGCCCGCAUUUGAUUAGCUAGUUGGUGAGGUAAAAGCUCACCAAGGCGAUAAUCAAUAGCUGAUUUGAGAGGAUGAUCAGCCACACUGGGACUGAGGUACGGCCCAGACUCC
rnacentral:rRNA from 1 species